GAUCACUUGAAGCACUUGGAAAAGGCCUCAGGGCCCUUCUGGACAUCUUUGAUGACCAGGAAAUACAACUGACGUGCUUGCACAAAGAAAGGCCACAGAUCUCAGAAGUCUGACUUUCUUUAUGAGGGAGGAGCCAGACAACUCUCUGAAGACAUGUCUGGAUGCAGACUCAGAGGAAAUGUUUGUCAAAGGGGUUGAAGUCAUGGAACCGUGGAAUCAAAGGACCCGGUGGAAAAGCGUAAAGAAGCAUCCUGGGCCACGGCCGAUGCGCUAACGCGUCCACUCCCAGCGGAGGAUUGUCCCGCACGCUCAGAGAAAACCACAGAGCGCACUGUGCGUUUCCUCGAGAGGCGAACAGAUCCACCUCUGCUUUGCCGAACCUGCUC